GUCUAUGGCCAUACCCCCCUGAACGCUCCUGAUCUUUUCUGAUCUUGGAAGCUAAGCAGGGUCGGGCCUGGUUAGUACUUGGAUGGGAGAUGUAGGAAUAUAGUGA
rnacentral:rRNA from 1 species